rnacentral:lncRNA from 10 species
CCGUACACCAGGGUGUGGGCUGUACACAAGAUCAGGGUCAAAUAACCCAGUUUGGACUAUAAACAAGAAACAAAAAUAUGAGCAGAAGAAAAUAUAUAAGAAGAGAUUUACCUGGGUAACGGUUAAGUUUCCCAAUCUCCAUCGUACAUAAUAUCGAAUAGGAAUCACAAGUGUGUAGAGGACAUGAAGGAAGGCAAAUCCCAGAGCUACCAAGCCAAGCUGCUUUCGGCAAAGCAUCCAGUGGUCAAGCCAGUCUGGGAAUCGACGGUAUUUUGUGCCUCGGUACAGUUGUAGAAUGGCAGCAAUAACACCAGGGAGGUAAACCAAAGCAAGCAGUUGCUCCUGACUGGAGAGCCCAGGCUGAGAUGGUGUUAAAUGCUUUUACCACGUGGGCUCCUGGCACCAAAUGAGCAAGAUCUCACCCCACAGGCCUUGGAAACCUGAGGCAGUAUUCUUCUGGGAUGUUUCCAACUAGGCUUCCCAUGAGGAUGUUAGAGCCAGCCUGGCUGGUGAAUUUUACUUCUCUCACCUCUCAGAGGGACAUGGAUGAAAUUGGAAAUCAUCAUUCUCAGUAAACUAUCGCAAGAACAAAAAACCAAACACCGCAUAUUCUCACUCAUAGGUGGGAACUGAACAAUGAGAACACGUGGACUCAGGAAGGGGAACAUCACACUCUGGGGACUGUUGUGGGAUGGGGGGAGUGGGGAGGGAUAGCAUUGGGAGAUAUACCUAAUGCUAGAUGACGAGUUAGUGGGUGCAGCGCACCAGCAUGGCACAUGUAUACAUAUGUAACUAACCUGCACAUUGUGCACAUGUACCCUAAAACUUAAAGUAUAAUAAUAAAAAAAAAUCUGUGAAGAACAGAGACAG